rnacentral:rRNA from 1 species
GGUCUUGACAUCCUCUGACAACCCUAGAGAUAGGGCUUCCCCUUCGGGGGCAGAGUGACAGGUGGUGCAUGGUUGUCGUCAGCUCGUGUCGUGAGAUGUUGGGUUAAGUCCCGCAACGAGCGCAACCCUUGAUCUUAGUUGCCAGCAUUCAGUUGGGCACUCUAAGGUGACUGCCGGUGACAAACCGGAGGAAGGUGGGGAUGACGUCAAAUCAUCAUGCCCCUUAUGACCUGGGCUACACACGUGCUACAAUGGGCAGAACAAAGGGCAGCGAAGCCGCGAGGCUAAGCCAAUCCCACAAAUCUGUUCUCAGUUCGGAUCGCAGUCUGCAACUCGACUGCGUGAAGCUGGAAUCGCUAGUAAUCGCGGAUCAGCAUGCCGCGGUGAAUACGUUCCCGGGCCUUGUACACACCGCCCGUCACACCACGAGAGUUUGUAACACCCGAAGUCGGUGAGGUA